rnacentral:tRNA from 1 species
AGAGACUUAGGAUAACAAGUCCAAAAGCCUUCAAAGCUUUAAGAGGGAAUGAAAGUUUCCCAGACUCUA